AGGGCCUCCAGACUCCGCCUGGGAUAACCUGUCCACACAUCUGCCUCCAGGGUGAGGCUGCUUCUGAGGGGGGAGAUGCUUGCCUGUCCCUCACUCAGAUGCUGCUAAGGCAGACCCAUCCUGCCUCUUGUUUCUUCCCGGGAGGUUGACACACCAGCUUCCACGGGCCAGCCCGGCGAUGUCGCAGCAGAAGCAGCAAUGUCAGGAGCCUCUGCGUGCUCUCAGAUGUCCCCGUCCCCGAGGCCCAACCCCCUCCCGGGGUUCCUGCCCUGCGCCUUGGCCUCCCUGCUCAGGGGGCUGUGGUUCUGGUCCCCAGAGGCCCCGGGACCCGAGCCCGGCUGGCUCUCAGAGGACUUGCCGCAGACAGCCCCGCUGCCUCAGCGGUGGCACCGUCCACCACAUCAAAGAGGAGGAGUGUUAAGGUGACCAGCGCAGAGGAGGGGACAGGAGGACAGCUGCUCUCGCCCUGCCCCGCCCGGGUGGUCUGGCACCCCUUCCCCUGAAGCCCAGGCCCCUCCCCCUCAUCCGGGCUGGGAAGCACCUCCUGGCCCCCAGCAUUCAUGGGCUGAGAACCCGGCUAAGCUGCCCUUCUGCUUCUGCCUCCCACCCACCCCUUCAGCUCAGCCAAAACACUACCUUUCAGCCUUGCUGCUCCGAGCAGACAUGCAGAGAUCUCUGCCUGUGGAUGCUGCCCUUCCUUCCUUCCUCCUAAGACAGCUGGUGGUGUUUAAAAGAGACAGAUGGUGGGAGGCUUAUGUCUGUCUGAGUUCUCAGCAUCCUCACAGCCCCCGAUCUGCAUCACCCCGUGAUCCUAGCACCGACGGCUUCAGCGUAAUAAACAGCUUCUGAAAACCU